AGAAUCGUAACUUAACGGUAAAAGUUUUUGUUUGAUAAGCAAAAUAUAAUGGUUCAAUUCCAUUCGAUUCUA
rnacentral:tRNA from 2 species